UGAAUUUUGAAUUAGAAAACUGAACCUUCAACAACUGAGUCUGGUUGGUACUAACAUGCUGCGUCAAACCUCAUUAAAACCGCCAAUAGAGGACUAUCCUGCAUAUAAGUAUAAUGCCAUAACCCACUACUGCAGAGACAAAGAAGGCUCCAGUUCAUGGCGACCCAAGGGACAAGAUGUGCAGCUGGUCAGACAAAGAGAACAACUCAGAGCUAGGUGCUCUCCCAGGGAAAGGAGGUAAAUCCCAUGAACCUGCAGAGAAGAGGAACAGUGGCCACUGUCACUGGGGGUUCCUGGACCGAAGAGAGCAUGUCUAGCUAUACUGGAGUCUUGGUCACAGGCAACUGCUUUGGUGAGGACCAUGGGCC
rnacentral:lncRNA from 1 species